rnacentral:rRNA from 1 species
UACGGAGGGAGCUAGCGUUGUUCGGAAUUACUGGGCGUAAAGCGCACGUAGGCGGCGAUUCAAGUCAGGGGUGAAAGCCCGGGGCUCAACCCCGGAACUGCCCUUGAAACUAGAUUGCUAGAAUCCUGGAGAGGCGAGUGGAAUUCCGAGUGUAGAGGUGAAAUUCGUAGAUAUUCGGAAGAACACCAGUGGCGAAGGCGGCUCACUGGUCCGGUACUGACGCUGAGGUGCGAAAGCGUGGGGAGCAAACAGG